rnacentral:lncRNA from 1 species
GAGACACCUCUGCGCUGGCCUCGGUCAGAGUUUCAGAGCCAGAGGGGUCUUUUCAGACUCCACUGCCCAGCCGUGAUUCUUCCAGACCCAUUGGCCCUGUUGGUGUCUCAGAUUGGCCAUUUACACAGUUUUCGCAUGUCUGGUCUUUUAAGAUGAAUGUAUCAUACAAGGCAGUAGAAUACAGUGGUAAAGAGUGUGGACUCUGGGACUAGACUGCCUCUGUGUGCAUCCUGUCUCCGAUGCUUACUAGCUGUGUGGCCUUGGGCAAGUUACUUAACCUCUACAUGCUCAAUUUCAUCAUCAUUAAAAUGGAGUGUGUAUGAUAAUACCCAAUCCAUAGGAGUGUCAUGAAGGUUUAAUGAGUUCCUGCCCACUUGGAACAGUGCUUACCACAUAGUAAGGGCUCAGGAAGGCAGCUCUUGGAUGCUGUGGUUUGGCCCUCCCCCAGCAAGAUGUCC